CUUAUUGUUUCUAUGUAAGUUUGUAAUAAGAUCUCUUUACAUCCAAUGGGUGGCAUCUUUAGGGUCGCCGAAUUCCAAAAUGCACAGAGAUGAAGAGAGAUAAUAAAAGAAAAUUCUAAAUCUGAAGGGAUAAAUUGGGAUCGAGAGAUGAACCCGAGGAGACUAUAUAAAUCUUCUACACCGCAAUAAAUAACCGCCCAACACAACUGUUCUGUCGCUGGCGGCGCCUAUUAGCACGGCCCAUAUGAAUCAUAAGAAGACCGACACAAAGCCCGUUAGUAGCCAGCAACGUAACAAGCAAGAGUUACCGUCAGUGACAACCAGAGCACAAGGAUGUUGUGUGGGACGUACGGAAAAGCAUACUCUACAGCUGGGGAAUCGAUACUCGCUACUCUCUGUCGCCACGUGAUUAGGUCACAGCUGUAGAGGAUCCAGAUCCUUCUUCUUCUCUUUAUAUAAAUAUCAAACAUUGUAACAAGAGAACGUUAAGCAAUAAAGUUAUAAGCUUGAGACAAACCCUUUGCUCUGUUUUACUCUGUUAACCUUCAUGGUAUCAGAGCUCAGCAAGUAGAUCAUGGAACCAAAUCCAGAUCCAGUUUCUGCGACGAAUCUUACCAUCACUCAGUGUGUUACGCUCAAGCUCAAGGAUGACAACUAUCUCAUCUGGAAACUGCAGUUCGAGCAGUUCCUUUCUUCUCAGGCGCUUCUGGGCUACGUCAACGGAGCCAUGCCACGACCUCCUCAAACCGUCACUGGGACACAAGGAGAACAGACUACCGAAGCAGCAAACCCUGAGUUUCUCCGAUGGGUUCAAAAAGAUCAGCUCAUCAUGGCUUGGAUCUACGGAACCUUAUCGGAGAACGCUCUUCGCACUGUCUACGGUCUCAACACUUCUCAGGAGGUCUGGCACUGUCUCGGUCAGAAGUACAACCGCGUUUCUGCUACCAGGAAGCUCGCUCUUCAGAGAAAGGUUCAAACUUUAUCAAAAGGAAACCGAACCAUGUCCGUCUAUCUCACUGAAAUCAAGACAUUGUGUGACCAACUUGACUCGAUUGGUGCUGCUAUUCCAGAAAGCGAGAAGAUUUUUGGUAUGCUUAAUGGUUUAGGAAAGGAAUAUGAGUCCAUUACUGCUGUUAUUGAAAACUCGAUGGACUCAUUUCCCGCACCAUCUCUUGAUGACGUCAUGUCCAAGCUUAUCUCCUUCGAUGAUAAGCUUCAGAACUAUGCUGCCGCCACUGAAGUCACUCCUCACCAAGCAUUCUACACUAACCGCGGUGGAUACUCUGGCCGUGGUCGUGGUCAGUCUCGAGGAGGAUACAGAGGACGUGGAUACUCUACACAAGGAAGGGGCUUCUAUCAACAGUUUGGUCCUAGCAAUGGACGUGGCACACAACAGAAUACUACAUCUCCUACUUGUCAAAUCUGUGGAAAGUUUGGUCAUGCAGCCUACAAAUGUUACAGAAGGUUUGAUCAAGACUUUCAACCGAGUCAUCAUCCUCAAGCAAACACAGUUAUGCGAACAGUGGAAGAGUCAGACUACGCUGGCAAUGACUGGUAUCCUGAUACUGCUGCUACUCAUCACAUCACCAGUUCCACUCAGCAUCUUCAGACUGCUCAGCCGUACUCUGGUUCUGAUUCAGUGAUUGUUGGCAAUGGUGACUUCCUUCCCAUCACGCACGUCGGCUCCAUUGCUAUUCCAUCGCUUUCAGGUACAUUACCUCUUAACGAUGUCUUAGUUUGCCCUCAGAUAACAAAAUCACUCCUGUCUGUGUCGAAGUUGACUGAUGAUUAUCCAUGUGAAUUCACAUUUGACUCACAAAAUGUACUUGUUAAGGACAAACAGACACAGCAGCUUCUCAGUCAAGGAAGCAAGCGUAAAGGUCUGUAUCGGCUUGAGAAUCCACAGUUUCUUGCGUUCUACUCAUCAAGACAGCAGAGUACGAGUGAUGGGACUUGGCACAAGAGAUUGGGGCAUCCUCACCAUCAGAUACUUCAGCAUCUAUCAUCAAGCAAAGCUAUUUCUAUAAAUAAAGUCUCUAAGACUGUGUGUGUGUCUUGUCAGUUAGGAAAAGUCUGCAAACUUCCUUUUUCCAGUUCUGUUUUUGAGUCUCUGAAACCUCUAGAGAGGAUACAUUGUGAUGUAUGGGGUCCUGCUCCUGUAACUUCAGUUCAAGGCUUCAGAUAUUACAUCAUUUUUAUUGAUAAUCAUUCAAGAUUCAGCUGGCUAUAUCCACUUAAACUCAAGUCUGAAGUGUUUGCAACUUUCAAAUCCUUUCAAUGUUUAGUGGAAAACCAGUUUGAAAGAAAGAUACAGAUUCUACAAACUGAUGGAGGAGGUGAGUUUGUCAACAACCAAUUUGCCUCUCAUCUCACACACUGUGGAAUCAAGCAUUAUCUCUCAUGUCCUCACACGCCAGAACAGAACGGAUUAGCGGAAAGAAAGCAUCGUCAUCUUGUGGAAUUAGGAAUGUCGAUGAUGUUUGAAGCAAAAAUGCCUCAGUCGCUCUGGGUUGAAGCACUGUUUACGGCUAACUUCUUAACAAACCUGCUUCCUCACACAGCACUUGGGAAAACAAGUAGUCCUUAUGAGAAGCUAAAUGGAUUCACACCUCACUACUCAGCCUUGCGUGUUUUUGGAUGUGCUUGCUACCCCUAUCUGCGCCCAUACUCGCAAAAUAAAUUUGAUCCCAAGAGUCUGUUGUGUGUUUUCUUGGGUUAUACGGAAAAGCAGAAAGGAUAUCGCUGCCUUCAUCCUCCAACAGGAAGGGUAUAUCUCAGUCGUCAUGUUCUCUUCGAUGAAACUAGAUUUCCGUAUGCCGACACCUAUCAAUCAUUUCUUCCUCAAGCUACUACUCCGCUACUAUCUGCUUGGUUAAAAGGUCUAAGUCCCAGCCAAGAAGAAGAAAAAGAGACAGUAUCUGAAAAGGUUGAUGAUCAAGUUAUCACUGGCAGUAGAAGACAAGCUACUCCACCUCAGGAACAAGGCAAUGCAGCUGAGGUCUUUCAACUUGUCGAAGAUGACUUCCCUCCACUCCCACCACCAUCUCCAGUCCAAAAUCUGAUCCAACCUCAAGAAGACAACACUCACACUAUGGUAACUCGGGCAAAAGCUGGCGUGAGAAAGCCAAACCCCCGUUACGUCCUUCACACGGUGAAAAGUGAAGUAACAAAACCAAAAAAUCUAGCAGAAGCCUUGCAUCAUCCAGGUUGGACUGCAGCUAUGGUCGAUGAAUAUGAUACAUGUCAGGAGACGAAAACUUGGAGUCUUGUUCCUCCUCCCUCGCAUGCUCACGUUCUUGGCUGUGGUUGGGUUCACAAGAUCAAGCUCAACGCAGAUGGAACAGUAGAGAAGCUUCGCUCCAGACUAGUGGCAAGAGGUAAUGAACAGGAGGAAGGUGUGGACUAUCUUGAAACCUAUAGUCCCGUUGUGAGGACAGCAACGAUCCGAAUGGUUUUACACACAGCAACUGUAAAUCGAUGGGACAUCAAACAGUUAGAUGUGAAGAACGCGUUUCUUCACGGGGAUCUAUCAGAGACUGUCUACAUGAGACAGCCACCAGGGUUCGAAGACGCUGCUCAUCCUGACCAUGUGUGUCUUCUUCACAAAGCUAUCUACGGACUGAAACAAGCCCCGCGUGCUUGGUUUGAUAAAUUCAGUGCAUUCCUUCUCAACUUCGGGUUUAUAUGCAGUGUCAAAGAUCCCUCUCUCUUCAUAUAUCAUCACGGUGAUACCACUAUCUUCUUACUAUUAUACGUUGAUGAUAUGGUGCUUACGGGAAACGACACGUCUGUUAUGAGAAAGCUUCUUCAAUCUCUCAGCUCAGAGUUCAGAAUGAAAGAUAUGGGUCCUUUAAGCUACUUUCUUGGAAUUCAAGUGAGGUAUACUCCAACAGGUCUGUUUCUGAAUCAAGAAAAGUAUGCUUCUGAGCUUUUACAAACCGCAGGGAUGCUUGACUGUGCUCCCAUGCCCACACCCUUACCCCUUCAGAUAGACAGAGUUCCGCACCAAGACGAGCUCUUUACUGACCCCACUUACUUCAGAAGUCUUGCAGGCAAGCUUCAGUAUUUGACAUUGACCAGGCCAGAUCUUCAGUUUGCAGUCAACUUGGUCUGUCAAAGGAUGCAUAAACCGACUUUGGCUGAUUUUCAUAUGCUUAAACGUGUUCUACGGUACGUAAAAGGAACACUGACGAUGGGACUACACUUUCAUUCUGACUCAGACUCAAGUCUCAAAGCCUUCUGCGAUAGUGACUGGGCUGGGUGUAGUGAAACAAGAAGAUCAACUGGAGGUUUCUGCACCAUACUUGGCUCUAAUCUCAUCUCUUGGUCUGCUACUAAACAAGACUCUGUAUCUCGCUCAUCAACUGAAGCAGAAUACAGAUGCUUAUCUGACACAGCAGCUGAACUUUCUUGGAUAAUUGAUGCUCUCAAAGAACUUGGCUUUCCUGUGACAAAGCCUGCGGAAGCCUACUGUGACAAUCUAUCUGCGGUUCAUCUUACAGCAAAUCCCGUCCUGCACAAGAAGUCUAAACACUUUGCUACUCAUUACCACUACGCUCGAGAACAAGUAGCUAAAGGUACUCUGAUCGUACGACAUGUUCCAGCUUCCUCUCAGCUGGCUGACAUCUUUACAAAGUCACUGCCUCAAGCAGCGUUCUAUUCCUUGCGGUCCAAACUCGGUGUUGUGCCUUCACCCACCACGAGUUUGCGAGGGGAUAUUAGCACGGCCCAUAUGAAUCAUAAGAAGACCGACACAAAGCCCGUUAGUAGCCAGCAACGUAACAAGCAAGAGUUACCGUCAGUGACAACCAGAGCACAAGGAUGUUGUGUGGGACGUACGGAAAAGCAUACUCUACAGCUGGGGAAUCGAUACUCGCUACUCUCUGUCGCCACGUGAUUAGGUCACAGCUGUAGAGGAUCCAGAUCCUUCUUCUUCUCUUUAUAUAAAUAUCAAACAUUGUAACAAGAGAACGUUAAGCAAUAAAGUUAUAAGCUUGAGACAAACCCUUUGCUCUGUUUUACUCUGUUAACCUUCAGCGCCAUCUCUCUUGCUUCAUUGCUUCGAACUCUCGUAGCCCAAUUAAAUAGAUAUGUGAGCAUAUAACUGAAGAGGAAGACAAACAAUCAAUAGUCAUAAUCAAGCAAUAACCAUUACAUAGAGAAAGAGAGAGAGUGAACAGACGAUUUGUGUCAAAGAAAAC
rnacentral:lncRNA from 1 species